GUCACAAAGGAAGGAAGGAGAAGAAACAGCCUGACUUGCAGCUCUUUUGGGCCCUGUUCCAGGCUUGCACUGGCUGGUAGCCACUUUCUCCAGGACAUUGCCUAGUAAAUUUGAACAGUAUCAGGGGAGUUGUAAGCAAAAGGCAGUACAGACAAGAACAAAUGAUCCUUCUUUGGCUGCAUAUUGUUGUAUCCUUGGAUGCACGGUUACAAGCAUAGCUGCUGAGAAAAGAACAGAAUGAAAAGCUGUAAAUGAAGGUGAAAAAAUGCCUUUCCAAAUUCCAAAGAAUGGCAAGUGUCAGCCCAGAAAAACAUCCCCAUCGAAGCAAAAGAUCAGCCACGAUAAAGAUGAGGAACAAGAAGUGACAUUCAAAGCUACUGAAAUAGAUACAGUCCCUUUUAAGCUCAGGAUGAGCAGCUUUUUUCUCAGUUUCAUUCUGUUACUGAUCUAUGGGUCCAUUCUGCACUGCACCCAAUUCUUGAGUUAUGGAUAACUGCUAAGAUUAAUUGGAGAAAGACAGCAUGUGCAAUUUGCAUUAUCUUUCAAUUUCUGCCAUCUAUUUGCUUCUUCCCUGCCCCCCAUGAUACCAAAGGAUGAAUGCAUUUUGAUUAAACACUGCAAAAAAGCAAUCUUGAUAUGAAGGAAUCAUGUAUGAUUGCCUCAGAAUUGUUUUCUGUGUAGUUUCAUUUAUACACAAAUGUCCAUUGGUGCACACAUCACACAGAGAGAUUCCCAAUGCAAAGAAUCAUACAGUU